rnacentral:rRNA from 1 species
UACAGAGGGUGCGAGCGUUAAUCGGAAUUACUGGGCGUAAAGCGCACGUAGGUGGCGACGUAAGUCGGGUGUGAAAGCCCCGGGCUCAACCUGGGAAUAGCGCUUAAGACUGGAGUGCUCGAGUGCGGAAGAGGCAACUGGAAUUCCCAGUGUAGCGGUGAAAUGCGUAGAUAUUGGGAAGAACACCGGAGGCGAAGGCGGGUUGCUGGGCCGACACUGACGCUGAGGCGCGAAAGCCAGGGGAGCAAACGGG